rnacentral:rRNA from 1 species
GUAACAAGGUCUCCGUUGGUGAACCAGCGGAGGGAUCAUUACCGAGUUUACAACUCCCAAACCCCUGUGAACAUACCACUUGUUGCCUCGGCGGAUCAGCCCGCUCCCGGUAAAACGGGACGGCCCGCCAGAGGACCCCUAAACUCUGUUUCUAUAUGUAACUUCUGAGUAAAACCAUAAAUAAAUCAAAACUUUCAACAACGGAUCUCUUGGUUCUGGCAUCGAUGAAGAACGCAGCAAAAUGCGAUAAGUAAUGUGAAUUGCAGAAUUCAGUGAAUCAUCGAAUCUUUGAACGCACAUUGCGCCCGCCAGUAUUCUGGCGGGCAUGCCUGUUCGAGCGUCAUUUCAACCCUCAAGCACAGCUUGGUGUUGGGACUCGCGUUAAUUCGCGUUCCUCAAAUUGAUUGGCGGUCACGUCGAGCUUCCAUAGCGUAGUAGUAAAACCCUCGUUACUGGUAAUCGUCGCGGCCACGCCGUUAAACCCCAACUUCUGAAUGUUGACCUCGGAUCAGGUAGGAAUACCCGCUGAACUUAAGCAUAU